GUAAGGGAGGAAAGGGGGGCCCAUUUCUCUCCUAAGUAGGUUAGCGCCGUGAUUCGACAGGACCUCCCCCCUCUGUUUAAGCAUGGUCCUGACAGUUUAGUUUAUUUGAUACUUAAUGGAUACAGUCAAAAACUAGAGCUAAUACAUGCCGAGACCAUAAGGUUGUAUUUAUUAGAUAUUGUAAUUAAGAUGAAUCAUAAUAACUCUACAAAUCUCGAUCCUAUCGAGAUAAAUCAUCCAAGUUUACUUGCCCUAUCAGCUUUCGAUGGUGGUGUAUUGGACUACCAUGGCUUUCACGGGUAACAGGGAAUUAGGGCCCGAGACACGGAGAAGGAGCCUGAGAAUUUUACUACAUCUACGGAAGGGGAGCCCGGCCGCCGUAAAAUUACCCAAUCCUGACUCAGGGAGGUGGUGACAAGAUAUAAUGACGCUAUGAAAUAAUACUUGAUUAUAGUGAGGGUUUUCCAAACCGAACCACUAGUACGAUUAGAGGGCAAGUCUGGUGCCAGCAGCCGCGGUAAUUCCAGCUCUAAUAGCGUAUAUUAAAGUUGCUGCAGUUAAAAGCUCGUAGUUGGAUUUCAGGAUUACAUAUUCCUAGGAUGUGUACCCUACUAGCCAGUUCUGCUGUACUGUGAGAAAUUAGAGUGUUUAAGCAGCUCAUGCAGAUAUAGCAUGGAUACGAAUGAUCUAGAAUCUGGUAUCCGAUCGAUAUUAGAGCAGUGGGGCCUAUGUAUUUUAUUGGUGCGAAGGAGGAACAUCUCGUGUGAUUGUCGA
rnacentral:rRNA from 1 species